AUUCAGCUGAUGAGUCUCAAAUAGGACGAAAUAUGCACCCUGAAU
rnacentral:hammerhead_ribozyme from 1 species